GACGAACGCUGGCGGCGUGCUUAACACAUGCAAGUCGAACGGCAAGGCCCUGCUUUUGUGGGGUGCUCGAGUGGCGAACGGGUGAGUAACACGUGAGUAACCUGCCCUUUACUUUGGUAUAACUUCAGGAAACUGGGGCUAAUACCGGAUAGGAGCUCCUGCUGCAUGGUGGGGGUUGGAAAGUUUCGGCGGUUGGGGAUGGACUCGCGGCUUAUCAGCUUGUUGGUGGGGUAGUGGCUUACCAAGGCUUUGACGGGUAGCCGGCCUGAGAGGGUGACCGGCCACAUGGGGACUGAGAGACGGCCCAGACUCCUACGGGAGGCAGCAGUGGGGAAUAUUGCACAAUGGGCGGAAGCCUGAUGCAGCAACGCCGCGUGCGGGAUGACGGCCUUCGGGUUGUAAACCGCUUUCGCCUGUGACGAAGCGUGAGUGACGGUAAUGGGUAAAGAAGCACCGGCUAACUACGUG
rnacentral:rRNA from 1 species